rnacentral:rRNA from 1 species
GAUGAACGCUAGCGAUAGGCCUAACACAUGCAAGUCGAGGGGCAGCACGGGAGUAGCAAUACAACUGGUGGCGACCGGCGCACGGGUGAGUAACGCGUAUGUAAUCUACCUACAACAGGGGGAUAACCCGGAGAAAUCCGGACUAAUACCGCAUAAAGCAGGGGUCCCGCCUGGGACUAUUUGUUAAAGAUUUAUCGGUUGUAGAUGAGCAUGCGUUCCAUUAGAUAGUUGGUAAGGUAACGGCUUACCAAGUCAGCGAUGGAUAGGGGAACUGAGAGGUUUGUCCCCCACACUGGAACUGAGACACGGACCAGACUCCUACGGGAGGCAGCAGUGAGGAAUAUUGGUCAAUGGGCGAGAGCCUGAACCAGCCAAAUCGCGUGAAGGAAGACUGCCUUAUGGGUUGUAAACUUCUUUUACAGGGGAAUAAAAAGACAUACGAGUAUGUCAUUGCAUGUACCCUGUGAAUAAGCAUCGGCUAACUCCGUGCCAGCCGCCGCCGUAA